rnacentral:rRNA from 1 species
CGCUAUCACUCCUACGGGGAGGCAGCAGUGAGGAAUAUUGGUCAAUGGACGCAAGUCUGAACCAGCCAUGCCGCGUGCAGGAAGAAUGCCCUAUGGGUUGUAAACUGCUUUUAUUUGGGAAGAAACCUCUUUACGUGUAGAGAGCUGACGGUACCAAACGAAUAAGCACCGGCUAACUCCGUGCCAACAGCCGCGGUAAUACGGAGGGGUGCAAGCGUUAUCCGGAAUCAUUGGGUUUAAAGGGUCCGCAGGCGGGCUUAUAAGUCAGUGGUGAAAUCUCUCGGCUCAACCGAGAAACUGCCAUUGAUACUGUAGGUCUUGAAUUCGGUCGAAGUGGGCGGAAUGAGUAGUGUAGCGGUGAAAUGCAUAGAUAUUACUCAGAACACCGAUAGCGAAGGCAGCUCACUAGGCCUGGAUUGACGCUGAGGGACGAAAGCGUGGGGAGCGAACAGGAUUAGAUACCCUGGUAG